UCAUUACCGAGUGAGGGUCCUCGUGGCCCAUCCUCCCACCCGUGACUAUUGUACCUUUGUUGCUUCGGCGGGCCCGCCAGCCCCGUGCUGGCCGCCGGGGGGCCUUGUGCCCCCGGGUCCGCGCCCGCCGGAGACCCCAACAUGAACACUGUUCUGAAAGCCUGUAUGAAUCCGAUUCUUUGUAAUCAGUUAAAACUUUCAACAAUGGAUCUCUUGGUUCCGGCAUCGAUGAAGAACGCACGAAAUGCGAUAACUAAUGUGAAUUGCAGAAUUCAGUGAAUCAUCGAGUCUUUGAACGCACAUUGCGCCCCCUGGUAUUCCGGGGGGCAUGCCUGUCCGAGCGUCAUUGCUGCCCUCAAGCCCGGCUUGUGUGUUGGGUCCUCGUCCUCCCCUCGCGGGGGGACGGGCCCAAAAGGCAGCGGCGGCACCGCGUCCGGUCCUCGAGCGUAUGGGGCUUUGUCACCCGAUCUGUAGGCCCGGACGGCGCCAGCCGACACAGAAUCACCU
rnacentral:rRNA from 1 species